rnacentral:rRNA from 1 species
UACGUAGGGGGCAAGCGUUAUCCGGAUUUACUGGGUGUAAAGGGAGCGUAGACGGCUUUGCAAGCCAGAUGUGAAAGCCCGGGGCUCAACCCCGGGACUGCAUUUGGAACUGUGUGGCUAGAGUGUCGGAGAGGCAGGCGGAAUUCCUAGUGUAGCGGUGAAAUGCGUAGAUAUUAGGAGGAACACCGGUGGCGAAGGCGGCCUGCUGGACUGUGACUGACGUUGAGGCCCGAAGGCGUGGGGAGCAAACAGG